UUCCUGGUGAUCUAGUGGUUAGGAUUCGACACUCUCACCGCUGCGGCCCGGAUUCGAUUUCCGCUCAGGGAA